UACUGCCAGACUUGGAACCGGGAGAGGUAAGAGGUACUACAGGGGUAGGAGUGAAAUCUUGUAAUCCCUGUGGGACCACCUGUGGCGAAGGCGUCUUACCAGAACGGGUUCGACGGUGAGGGACGAAAGCUGGGGGCACGAACCGGAUUAGAUACCCGGGUAGUCCCAGCCGUAAACGAUGCUCGCUAGGUGUCAGGCAUGGCGCGACCGUGUCUGGUGCCGCAGGGAAGCCGUGAAGCGAGCCACCUGGGAAGUACGGCCGCAAGGCUGAAACUUAAAGGAAUUGGCGGGGGAGCACAACAACGGGUGGAGCCCUGCGGUUUAAUUGGACUCAACGCCGGACAACUCACCGGGGGCGACAGCAAUAUGUAGGCCAAGCUGAAGACUUUGCCUGAAUCGCUGAGGAGAGGUGCAUGG
rnacentral:rRNA from 1 species